rnacentral:rRNA from 1 species
UACGUAGGGUGCGAGCGUUGUCCGGAAUUAUUGGGCGUAAAGGGCUCGUAGGCGGUCUGUUGCGUCGGUAGUGAAAACUCAGGGCUUAACCCUGAGCCUGCUUCCGAUACGGGCAGACUAGAGGUAUGCAGGGGAGAACGGAAUUCCUGGUGUAGCGGUGAAAUGCGCAGAUAUCAGGAGGAACACCGGUGGCGAAGGCGGUUCUCUGGGCAUUACCUGACGCUGAGGCGCGAAAGCUAGGGGAGCAAACAGG